GGGAAGGAAAAAGAAANAUGCAAGUCGAAAGAUGAACCUGCUUCGGCGGGGGAUUAGUGGCGAACGGGUGAGUAACACGUGGGCAAUCUGCCCUGCACUCUGGGACAAGCCCUGGAAACGGGGUCUAAUACCGGAUACGACCACUUCAGGCAUCUGAUGGUGGUGGAAAGCUCCGGCGGUGCAGGAUGAGCCCGCGGCCUAUCAGCUUGUUGGUGAGGUAACGGCUCACCAAGGCGACGACGGGUAGCCGGCCUGAGAGGGCGACCGGCCACACUGGGACUGAGACACGGCCCAGACUCCUACGGGAGGCAGCAGUGGGGAAUAUUGCACAAUGGGCGAAAGCCUGAUGCAGCGACGCCGCGUGAGGGAUGACGGCCUUCGGGUUGUAAACCUCUUUCAGCAGGGAAGAACCAAAUGUGACAGUACCUGCAGAAUAAUCGCCGGCUAACUACCUGCCCU
rnacentral:rRNA from 1 species